GACGAACGCUGGCGGCGUGCUUAACACAUGCAAGUCGAACGGAAAGGCCUCUUUCGGGGGGUACUCGAGUGGCGAACGGGCGAGUAACACGUGAGUAACCUGCCCUUGACUUUGGGAUAACUUCAGGAAACUGGGGCUAAUACCGGAUAGGAGCUCCUGCUGCAUGGUGGGGGUUGGAAAGUUUCGGCGGUUGGGGAUGGACUCGCGGCUUAUCAGCUUGUUGGUGGGGUAGUGGCUUACCAAGGCCUUGACGGGUAGCCGGCCUGAGAGGGUGACCGGCCACAUUGGGACUGAGAUACGGCCCAGACUCCUACGGGAGGCAGCAGUGGGGAAUAUUGCACAAUGGGUGGAAGCCUGAUGCAGCAACGCCGUGUGCGGGAUGACGGCCUUCGGGUUGUAAACCGCUUUCGCUCAUGACGAAGCUUUGUGUGACGGUAGUGGGUAAAGAAGCACCGGCUAACUACGUG
rnacentral:rRNA from 1 species